UAUUUCGCUGAACUUAUUCCUUUCGAGUUCCGACUUCUGAGACCCUUCUCAUUCUUUUCAGUUAGUCUACCAAAUCCUCAUCAGUUAGUCUCGAUUCAUUUUUCUCUUCCUUUUCCUCUCUCUUCGUUUUCCCGUUCUUACUUGAAACUGAAUAGGGUUUUAGGGGUAGUUUGAAAUCCGAAAUCGUCCAAUGUAAAAAUGAUUGAAGAAAAAUUGUUGUUAUCAGCAAACCCAACUUUCUUCGUGAAGGAAGAAAAAUCGCUUAAUGCAAUUUGGUGCAUAAAUUUGGUGAAAGAAAUGAUUUCCAGUUGAAAAUAUGAUUGCAGAAUUUUUCUUAACAAGGGGAGUUCAAAUAUUAGGAUAACAACAAGAUCAUUGAAGAACAGACAUGGCAUAAAGUGGCUUCAAUCACCAGGGAGAUAGUGCGUGCUCUGAUAUGACAUACCUUCAUAAAUAAGUACCAAUAUGUUCUCUUUUAAAUUGGAUUACGUGCAGUAUGAGUAAAUUUGUGAAUCCAAUUACAAUUACAUAUAGGUUACUGUACUGUAUUUGAGUAUGUACAUAGGUUACUGUACAUAGAAUUAAUUUGCUUUGUUUUUGAUCUGCUGGAGUACUAAGCAUUUUUCUUAUAUAUAUAUAUAAGCAGUUGUCCAGAAAUUUGAUGCAGUGGAAAAGAUGGGAUCAAAUAGAUAUAUGUUUGAAACGUUUGUUACUGUUUUAGUGGAAGGGGGUAACAACAUUCUUCAUUGCACUCUAUUGGAGUAUGGACCACACUGCGGUUGUCGACUCUGAUUCGAUUUGUCGUCCUUAACCCCGCUCAAUAAUGUGCAGCUCAUCAUCUUCCGCUUCACCACCAAUCACUUUUGUCCUCUAUAUGAUUAAUUUGAUAUUACAUCUCACCGCCCAGUCACUUUCUUCCUUAUUGAAUGAUAGCCUGAUAAACAUGGCGGCUUCAGUUCCAGAGCAACCACUUUUUAUUGUUCUUGCCCAGUCUCCAUGGUGUUCGCAAGGCAGGUUCAGACUGAAGGCAGGUCGAGGGGUAGAUCAACGUGAAAAAUCACAUGUUGAGGUAGAAUAUUAUAAUACCUUUGCUUCUUUUCUUUAAGAUGCGGUCUUAAUCUAAAGAUGUUGCAUAGGUAUCAUAAAAAUCCAGCAAAACUAAGAGUUGCUACCAGCUAUCAUCUUUUUGCAUUGUAGAGAUAAGAUUUGAUUCUGACAUCAUAUGCUGUUGUAGAUUUUUUUAUUUUUUUGUACAGAUUGAUCCAGUUAUCUGAAUGCUAGUCGUUCUACUCUUGCAAUGUCUACCAAAACAUGACAUACUCACUUUUUCAAAUUCUUAGGUGGCAAACCUCUGACGAGCAUUAAAAGUUUGUCGUUUACUCAAUUCAUCUACAGACAUCAUUAUCCAUCUUCUUUGUCAUGAAAAACAAGAUAACACCACACAUGCACUACUGAAAAAAUAAGUCGUGUAUUACACAACAUUCGGUUCAUGUGUAAGGAUUUCGUCUCAACCCUUCCAGCACGUGUUUACAAACUAGGAACACUUGACAUGCAUUUCUGUUCUUCAUUUAAAUUUUAAUCUAUUUACAUGUCAAGAAUUGGGGUUCGUAAGCUUAUUGGUCUGUUGUUUCUUCUUAUCCUGUUCUUGAUUACUUGAGUGUAACUUUGAUUCAUAUAAUCUGCUCAAUUAUUAUUUUGGUUAAAGCGUUACACAUUAUUUGGUUUAAAGCUCUUUUGAUAUCUUAAAGUUUGGCGGCUACUAUAUAAACCUUUCUCGAUUUGUCUUUCACUCCCACUGUUGCAUCUACUCAGGUAAUCGCCUCUUCUGUUUACAAUUUAAGCAUCUGUAGUUGGUUUUAUCUCGGUCGUUCACAUAGUUCCAGGUAUAUCUAGGGCCUAUCAAUCAUAGCCUUGACAUUUUUACUCUGCUAAGCAUACGAUGUGGUAUUUAUCCUAUUUUCCAUGCUUACGCAGAUGCUUCAAAUGGGUUCCAGAUUCACUGCAAUCCCUCCAAAAGGCUUCCACAUCUCCAGGCACCACCUACAAGACCUUGGACCAGCUCCCGAAUUGGUGAACAGUAGCCAUGGCAGGUUCAAGUCAUAUCUAGAAAAUGCAAUGAAGUGGAUUUCUUGGGAAAGAACGAUAUUACCAGCUUGGAUAAUCCGUUUCUCGACGAAAACACGAGUUUUUCCUCGAUCUUAUUAUUAAAAUUUGGUUGCACCAUUUAUUUACAUUCCUGAAAUAAAGUAACAAUCGAUUUUCCAUGGGGAGGAAAUUGAAGGCCCACUACGCAUCAGUGUGGUCAAGUUACCUAACACAGACGCACAUCCUCCACCUGAUUUUAGGAACAGUAAGUGUAAAAAUGCCUCUCAUUCUGAUGAUGAUCAAGAUCAACGCAAAAGAAGAAUUACUAAAAAAAUUACUCUCCUGCAAAAAGUUGGUAACGAAACAUCCGACUGUAUCUUUGGUGAAGUAUGAUUGCUGUAUAGUAUAGUGAUGCACCCUUGGUGAUACAGCAAUCGCGCUCCAGACGUGAACUGCUAGAAGCCUAGAACUUUGAAGCAGGAUUCUAUAUAGCAUUCGUAUCUGUUUAUUUGAAUCUAGCUCGAUCUUUUUAACAAUUUAUCUAUUAUUGGAUUUAUGGCUUUAAUUUCUAUCAAGAUUUUUCAAUAUUCUGUUCA